UGGGUAAAAACGCCAAACAUG
rnacentral:miRNA from 1 species